AACGAACGCUGGCGGCAUGCCUAACACAUGCAAGUCGAACGAGACCUUCGGGUCUAGUGGCGCACGGGUGCGUAACGCGUGGGAACCUGCCCUUAGGUUCGGAAUAACUCCCCGAAAGGGGUGCUAAUACCGGAUAAUGUCUUCGGACCAAAGAUUUAUCGCCUUUGGAUGGGCCCGCGUUGGAUUAGCUAGUUGGUAGGGUAAAAGCCUACCAAGGCGACGAUCCAUAGCUGGUCUGAGAGGAUGAUCAGCCACACUGGGACUGAGACGCGGCCCAGACUCCUACGGGAGGCAGCAGUGGGGAAUAUUGGACAAUGGGCGAAAGCCUGAUCCAGCAAUGCCGCGUGAGUGAUGAAGGCCUUAGGGUUGUAAAGCUCUUUUACCCGGGAUGAUAAUGACGGUACCGGGAGAAUAAGCUCCGGCUAACUCCGUG
rnacentral:rRNA from 1 species